AAAUUGAAGAGUUUGAUCAUGGCUCAGAUUGAACGCUGGCGGCAGGCCUAACACAUGCAAGUCGAACGGUAACAGGAAGCAGCUUGCUGCUUUGCUGACGAGUGGCGGACGGGUGAGUAAUGUCUGGGAAACUGCCUGAUGGAGGGGGAUAACUACUGGAAACGGUGGCUAAUACCGCAUAACGUCGCAAGACCAAAGAGGGGGACCUUCGGGCCUCUUGCCAUCAGAUGUGCCCAGAUGGGAUUAGCUUGUUGGUGAGGUAACGGCUCACCAAGGCGACGAUCCCUAGCUGGUCUGAGAGGAUGACCAGCCACACUGGAACUGAGACACGGUCCAGACUCCUACGGGAGGCAGCAGUGGGGAAUAUUGCACAAUGGGCGCAAGCCUGAUGCAGCCAUGCCGCGUGUAUGAAGAAGGCCUUAGGGUUGUAAAGUACUUUCAGCGGGGAGGAAGGUGUUGUGGUUAAUAACCGCAGCAAUUGACGUUACCCGCAGAAGAAGCACCGGCUAACUCCGUGCCAGCAGCCGCGGUAAUACGGAGGGUGCAAGCGUUAAUCGGAAUUACUGGGCGUAAAGCGCACGCAGGCGGUCUGUCAAGUCGGAUGUGAAAUCCCCGGGCUCAACCUGGGAACUGCAUUCGAAACUGGCAGGCUUGAGUCUUGUAGAGGGGGGUAGAAUUCCAGGUGUAGCGGUGAAAUGCGUAGAGAUCUGGAGGAAUACCGGUGGCGAAGGCGGCCCCCUGGACAAAGACUGACGCUCAGGUGCGAAAGCGUGGGGAGCAAACAGGAUUAGAUACCCUGGUAGUCCACGCCGUAAACGAUGUCUACUUGGAGGUUGUGCCCUUGAGGCGUGGCUUCCGGAGCUAACGCGUUAAGUAGACCGCCUGGGGAGUACGGCCGCAAGGUUAAAACUCAAAUGAAUUGACGGGGGCCCGCACAAGCGGUGGAGCAUGUGGUUUAAUUCGAUGCAACGCGAAGAACCUUACCUGGUCUUGACAUCCACAGAACUUUCCAGAGAUGGAUUGGUGCCUUCGGGAACUGUGAGACAGGUGCUGCAUGGCUGUCGUCAGCUCGUGUUGUGAAAUGUUGGGUUAAGUCCCGCAACGAGCGCAACCCUUAUCCUUUGUUGCCAGCGAUUAGGUCGGGAACUCAAAGGAGACUGCCAGUGAUAAACUGGAGGAAGGUGGGGAUGACGUCAAGUCAUCAUGGCCCUUACGACCAGGGCUACACACGUGCUACAAUGGCGCAUACAAAGAGAAGCGACCUCGCGAGAGCAAGCGGACCUCAUAAAGUGCGUCGUAGUCCGGAUUGGAGUCUGCAACUCGACUCCAUGAAGUCGGAAUCGCUAGUAAUCGUGGAUCAGAAUGCCACGGUGAAUACGUUCCCGGGCCUUGUACACACCGCCCGUCACACCAUGGGAGUGGGUUGCAAAAGAAGUAGGUAGCUUAACCUUCGGGAGGGCGCUUACCACUUUGUGAUUCAUGACUGGGGUGAAGUCGUAACAAGGUAACCGUAGGGGAACCUGCGGUUGGAUCACCUCCUUA
rnacentral:rRNA from 1 species